UGAACCUUGGGCCUGGCUGGCCGGUCCGCCUCACCGCGUGUACUGGUCCGGCCGGGCCUUUCCCUCUGUGGAACCCCAUGCCCUUCACUGGGUGUGGCGGGGAAACAGGACUUUUACUGUGAAAAAAUUAGAGUGCUCCAGGCAGGCCUAUGCUCGAAUACAUUAGCAUGGAAUAAUAGAAUAGGACGUGUGGUUCUAUUUUGUUGGUUUCUAGGACCGCCGUAAUGAUUAAUAGGGACAGUCGGGGGCAUCAGUAUUCAAUUGUCAGAGGUGAAAUUCUUGGAUUUAUUGAAGACUAACUACUGCGAAAGCAUUUGCCAAGGAUGUUUUCAUUAAUCAGGAACGAAAGUUAGGGGAUCGAAGACGAUCAGAUACCGUCGUAGUCUUAACCAUAAACUAUGCCGACUAGGGAUCGGACGGUGUUAUUUUUUGACCCGUUCGGCACCUUACGAGAAAUCAAAGUGCUUGGGCUCCAGGGGGAGUAUGGUCGCAAGGCUGAAACUUAAAGAAAUUGACGGAAGGGCACCACCAGGGGUGGAGCCUGCGGCUUAA
rnacentral:rRNA from 2 species